rnacentral:rRNA from 1 species
UAGGGAAUCUUCCACAAUGGGCGAAAGCCUGAUGGAGCAACGCCGCGUGUGUGAUGAAGGCUUUAGGGUCGUAAAGCACUGUUGUAUGGGAAGAAAUGCUAGAAUAGGGAAUGAUUCUAGUUCGACGGUACCAUACCAGAAAGGGACGGCUAAAUACGUGCCAGCAGCCGCGGUAAUACGUAUGUCCCGAGCGUUAUCCGGAUUUAUUGGGCGUAAAGCGAGCGCAGACGGUUGAUUAAGUCUGAUGUGAAAGCCCGGAGCUCAACUCCGGAAUGGCAUUGGAAACUGGUUAACUUGAGUGUUGUAGAGGUAAGUGGAACUCCAUGUGUAGCGGUGGAAGGCGUAGAUAUAUGGAAGAACACCAGUGGCGAAGGCGGCUUACUGGACAACAACUGACGUUGAGGCUCGAAAGUGUGGGUAGCAAACAGGAUUAGAUACCCUGGUAGUCCACACCGUAAACGAUGAAUACUAGGUGUUAGGAGGUUUCCGCCUCUUAGUGCCGAAGCUAACGCAUUAAGUAUUCCGCCUGGGGAGUANGACCGCAAGGUU